UAUUUUAAAUUAUAAAUAGAUUAUUUCUACCUAAGUAUUAUGAAUUGUUUUAUUUAAAAUUUAAAGGACUUGGCGGUGUCUUAGACUACUUAGGGGAACCUGUUUUUUAAUCGAUAAUCCUCGUAUUACCUUACCUUUUUUGUUUAUCAGUUUGUAUACCGUCGUCGUCAGUUAACUUUUAAAGGAAAUAAAAGUUGUCUUUUUAAAUUUUGGUUUUAGACGUCAGAUCAAGGUGCAGCUUAUAAAUUGGUAAAUAUGGGUUACAAUUAUUAAUUUAUAAUUUAUGGAUAUUUUUUUGAAAUUAUUUAUUGAAGGAGGACUUAAAAGUAAUUUAAUUUAGAUAUAUUUAAUGAAUUUGGCUCUUGGAUGUGUACACACCGCCCGUCACCCUCA
rnacentral:rRNA from 1 species